rnacentral:rRNA from 1 species
GAGAUGAACCUGAGAGUUUGAUCCUGGCUCAGAGCGAACGCUGGCGGCAUGCUUAACACAUGCAAGUCGCACGAACCUUUCGGGG